UUUGAACGCAUAUUGCACUUCCGGGUUAGUCCUGGGAGUAUGUUUGUAUCAGUGUCCGUA
rnacentral:rRNA from 1 species